CCUUUUUGGCCAAGACCCAAUUGGGAAACCCUCUCAGCCAUCACCUAAAAGCGAGGUAGAGAGCACAGCUAGUACAGACUGCGUAUCGCGCGCGCAUGAGCGUUCGGGUACAUGCCUCUUAUGUAUAUCGCAUCGACAUGCGCAUGCGAGGUGCUCGGCCAGGAGCGCAGCAUGGCAAGCUGCGCACACUAGGUCUUUCCUUGCGUGCCCAAGUUACUGAGCGUGUAAACAAGCCUGGCUAGCCCCAGCACACACACAUGGCACUAUGCGUACACAUACUAACAGUGGUCCCCUUUGGAGUGUUGGCACGACUUAUGGAGCUUGUGCUCCCGCAGACAAUUACGGAAUAGCCGCAACCCAUAACCUGUUUAACACCUUGGUGGUCAAACCAUUUUUGAACUCAU
rnacentral:lncRNA from 1 species